ensembl:lncRNA
CCUAAAAGGCCAAAAAAAAAAAAAAAAAAGAGAAAAGCUCAGUCCAGGUCCUUGAAUGACUGAAAACCAGGCUGUCCUUUCAUUAAUUCCACCCUCCCCCCAACCCUCAUCUUCAAUCCUGCUGAUUUGACUACGUUAACAAGAAGUCAACUUGUUUUGAGCAUUGAGAUUUCAUUUCUGUACUUCUCUUUUCUGUCUUCCAGCCUCUCUUCUACCAAAGUCUUCAUGGAGAGUCUGCCUUGUGUCUGAGGGCAUCACUUGGUUAGAAAUGAGAAUUCUAAGGCCUACCCCAGACCUACUAAAUCUAGGGUGGGACCCAACAAACUGGUUUAAACAGCCCUCAGGUGAUUCCCAUGCAGGAUCAAGGUUAAGAGUCACUGACAAUGAAUGGUAAGGCCUUUUCAGAUAGGCUGGCAAAGUGCAGUUUAAAGUGGCCACAAGCCGGUUCUAUAUGCAAAACAUUCAUGCAUUCUUUUUUUAAAAAGUAUGGGGGAGUGUAAGCGGCUCCCAAGUAAACCACCUCUCUAUUAGCUAGUUGUCAAGUGUCAUUAUUCCGACAUGCAUUUGGUAUAGAUCUUUGGGCUCCAGAGACCCCAGGAGACACAGUCCAUUAAACUGAAGGGAGCCCCCUCAUCUCCCUGUACUGGGACGAAGUGAACAUCGAUAAACCGUUGAGCAAGUCUCCAAAGGAGUUUCCUUUGACCUCAUCCUUUCUACAACCUUGAGGAGGGUGUUGGGCCCAGAGGUACAAAACCAAUUUUUGACUACUUUGCCAACCCUUGCAUGGAAAAAACUAACUGAAUCACAUUAUCACAUCCCUAAAAGAAUCACGUCAUCAUUUGUGUAUGAAAGUGUGUUUGUUGGGGAGGAGGAUUAAGAGAUUUAAAUGUGUCACAUGGAAUCUUAAAUUCUCACUUUGGAAGGAUCUGAUCUUGCAGGUCUGUGGAUGGGACCUGAUGUGAACUCUAAAGAAUUUUGCUAUGAACUCUUGCCAUUAUAAUGGGAUGAAGGAGCACUCGUGGUCUGAUAGUUGGUACAGAUUUCAAAGUUUACAUAAAGACUCAGUCUGUGAGGAUUAAAAUACAUCUCUGCACACCUGGUUGUAAUGAAUAUUCCUUAUAGAGUGAUGCCUCAACGUGAAGAAUAACUCUUGAAAUUAACAGUGCCUGGGCUCCAGGCCACAUUGUUCUGAGAGGAGCUCUGGAAUUGGUUCUAAGAAAUGUUUAGAUGACUUUACUGUGCCCUGGGUUAAAAGAGUAUCACAUUAGUCACUACUCUACUUGAACUAGUUUGAGCAAAAGAUGAAUUUUUUGAAAGGAUACUGUGCUACAUGACUGAAGGAUAAACCCCUAGCCUGGGAACCUCCAUAUGCCGCAGGAGCGGCCCAAGAAAUAGCAAAAAAAAAAAAAAAAAAAAAAAAAAAGACAAAAUGAUCUGUAGCUUAUUUGGGGGCAGCUGGCUCUAAGCUGCAACAGAAAUCAUUAGUGCGCACACACAUGUAUAGCCCUCUGUUGGCUCUGUUCUAAUAACUUUACAUACAAAAAGCCUUUUUAUCCUCAGAGCAGUCCAUUGAAAUCAGUAUGAUUUUUACACCUCUGUUACAGAUAAGGAAGUAGAAACCCAAACGGGUGUCAUUUACCCAAGGUCACCAAGCUAGUGAGUGGCAAAGCCAGGAUUGAAACACUUUGAUUGAAAUUUCAAAGUCGAAACACUCAAACUUUAUAUUUUUAUCAUCUCUCUACUGCAUCAUAUAGUUAGUAAAUCAUGUAAUAAGUAGUGGAGUUGAGAGUGGAAUCUGAUAUUUUGACCCUAAAGUCCUUACUUUUAUGUGCUGCAUGAUUUGGACUGAGGGAGGAGGUUUGUGGAUGCCCAUCAGGAGCUCCCUUUGAAUGUCCUAAGGCAUUUAUGUCAGAAUUCUGCUGGUAUCUUAUGGAGAUACUGUGCUUAUAGCACUUAUCUUCCUAAAAACCCCUCAUGGUAGAUAUACCUCCACUUUAUAGAACUGGCUAUCAGUUUUGUGGUUGCACAGAUGGUGUAUCCAGUAGAAUCUAGGUCAGGAGUUGACAAACUUUUCCUGUGAAGAGCCAGUUGGUAAAUAUUUUAGACCUGGAAGAACAUAAAGUCUCUGUUACAACUAUACCUCUGCCAUGGUACAAAAGCAGCCAUAGAUAAUAUGUAACAGAUGGAUAUGGCUAUGUUACAGCUUUAGAUAUAGACACUGAAGCUUGAAUUUAAAUAAUUUUCACAUGUUAUGAAUAUUAUUCUUUUGACUUUUUUUCCCCCAACCAUUUAAACAAGUUAAAAUAAUUCUUAGCUCACGGACUGUUCAAAAAUAGAUAGCAGAAUGGAUUUGGCCAGCAGGUUGUGAUCUAGCUGGUUGGAUUCUAAACCCUGGGGUGUUUUCACAAAACCCCUUAAUAACCACAAAAAUAAAAAUUAUAAUGAUUGUUCUAGGGCCUAAGUGAGAUUAUGGCUAUAAGGCACUGAGCAUUAUUUCUGGUACUUCAUGAGCUUUCAGAGGUCAACUGGUACAUUGCCUGCUAAAUCUAUUGCAUUUGGCAUUAGGAAUCAGAGAUUUAGGGAACUGGUUUUUAAACUGUAAUGUGAUGAAUCUAACAGUAGGUGGCACUCUUACCUCAAGUUUAGAAGCUGCAGCCAGGAGGCAGAGGAAACUAAGAGGGGAAACUCAGAGGCCACUGUUUAUAUUACUGAGCUUUUUAAUCAACAAGUGAGACUUGCUGCCUCUGCCAGACUGUGGCCUACAAAAUCUUUGCUCAUGGAAAGAAAAGGGUGUGAAUUUUGCAAAAUAAUUGGUACUAUGUUGUGAAUAAGAGUUUUUUGAUGAGAGCUUUUUGCUUACAGCCUGGGGAAGACCUGAGGAAGACCUCAGACAUUCUUGGUUAGUUCUGAGUAGAUGAUGACAGUAAAAUGCUUCUUACAUCUGCUUAGCACAUAUGACCAAGCUCUGUGCAGCUUCUGGUUCCCUGCUCCCCGCACCUCCAGCUCUGGGUUUGGAGCAAAGGAAGACAUUGGAAGGCUGGGAGUCAGGAGGGGAGAUGUGCCUGGGCAGGAAUGCAUUGUAUCAUAAUUACAAGGAAAGAUCCCUUUGGGGUCUUUAUUGACUUUUACAAGCAUUUCAUCAUUCGACAGACGUGAAGACCUACUGUGAAUACUGUGCAAUGGGUAAGAGCCAUUAAGAAAGAGUACUGAUGUGGAAAGAUGUUCUGUAUAUAAGAAAAGUAAAUUGCUAGGUAUAGUCUGAGGCCAUAGUUGUGUCUAUCUGUCUCUCCAUACUCAAAUGGGAAAAUAUAUUUAAAAAAUACUUUAUGGAGGAGGAAAUUGAGACUCAAAAUUAUAACUUGCCCCACACCGAGGACACUUCAGCUGGUAAAUAGCAGAGUUAAAACUCGGAUUUAAAAGAAGGGAAAAGAGAUGGAGAAAAAGAGCGAGGCAUGGUGGAAUGUGGGCUAUUUAGUAGCUGUGUUGCCUUGGUUUCAGUUUCCUUAACUAUGGUAAUUACAGUACCCAUCACAUAGGGUAGGCACUGUCUAAUAUUGAGAAUGAAAGAGAAGAUCCACACUAAUUCUGAAACUCAUUUGUCCUCAAGCAACAUACUCAGUUCUCAGACUUGCAGAGGAUUUGGAAGGGCCAAGGGGUUGUCUGAAAGGCUUAAGUGGUGCAGGAGCCUGGGGCUCUGACUCACCACUACUUAAAGGGGAGAGUGAUUAAAAAAAAAAAGCAAAAAAGAGGAAUUCAAAAUCAAUAGCAGAAAUGAAAAAGGAGCAUUACUCUAGAUUUUAUCAGCAGUAAGAAAUAAUAAAAUACAUAUAACUUUAUACCAACAAAUUUGAAAAAUCGACAAAUUCUUAUAAAAUUACGAAGAUUUAAGAAUAGGAAACUUAAAUAGGUUUCUAAUGACUGAAAAAAAAAAAAAAAAAAAA